rnacentral:rRNA from 1 species
GAUGAACGCUGGCGGCGUGCCUAAUACAUGCAAGUCGAGCGAACGGACGAGAAGCUUGUUUCUCAGAUGUUAGCGGCGGACGGGUGAGUAACACGUGGAUAACCUACCUAUAAGACUGGGAUAACUUCGGGAAACCGGAGCUAAUACCGGAUAAUAUUUUGAACCGCAUGGUUCAAAAGUGAAAGACGGUCUUGCUGUCACUUAUAGAUGGAUCCGCGCUGCAUUAGCUAGUUGGUAAGGUAACGGCUUACCAAGGCAACGAUGCAUAGCCGACCUGAGAGGGUGAUCGGCCACACUGGAACUGAGACACGGUCCAGACUCCUACGGGAGGCAGCAGUAGGGAAUCUUCCGCAAUGGGCGAAAGCCUGACGGAGCAACGCCGCGUGAGUGAUGAAGGUCUUCGGAUCGUAAAACUCUGUUAUUAGGGAAGAACAUAUGUGUAAGUAACUGUGCACAUCUUGACGGUACCUAAUCAGAAAGCCACGGCUAACUACGUG